rnacentral:rRNA from 1 species
GACGAACGCUGGCGGCGUGCCUAAUACAUGCAAGUCGAACGAACCGCGGCUAAGUACCUGCACUCAGUCAAGGUACGUGGCGAAAGGGUGCGUUACACGUGGGUAACCUACCUCAAAGUGGGGGUUAAACGUCGGAAACGACUGCUAAUACAGCAUAGGCUACAGGAUCACAUGCUCCAGUGAGGUAAGGUGGCGCAAGCUAUCGCUACGAGCUGGACCCGCGGUGCAUUAGCGAGUUGGUAGGGUAAAGGCCUACCAAGGCGAUGAUGCAUAGCCGACCUGAGAGGGUGAUCGGCCACAUUGGGACUGAGACACGGCCCAAACUCGGACGGGGAGCAGCAGUAGGGAAUCUUCCGCGAUGGACGCAAGUCUGACGGUGCAACGCCGCGGAAGUGAAGAAGGUCUUCGGAUCGGAAAGCUCUGUUGGUAGAGAAGAAGAGCGCAUAGAGUAGCUGCUAAGCGAGUGACGGUAUCUAAACAGAAAGCCACGGCUAACUACGUG